CAGUCGCCACGGUAAUACGUAGGUGGCAAGCGUUGUCCGGAAUUAUUGGGCGUAAAGGGCUCGCAGGCGGUUUCUUAAGUCUGAUGUGAAAGCCCCCGGCUCAACCGGGGAGGGUCAUUGGAAACUGGGAAACUUGAGUGCAGAAGAGGAGAGUGGAAUUCCACGUGUAGCGGUGAAAUGCGUAGAGAUGUGGAGGAACACCAACGGCGAAAGCACUCUGCUGGGCCGACACUGACACUGAGAGACGAAAGCUAGGGGAGCAAAUGGGGUUAGAUACCCCUGUAGUCCCUGUCUCUUAUAC
rnacentral:rRNA from 1 species